rnacentral:rRNA from 1 species
AUUGAACGCUGGCGGCAGGCCUAACACAUGCAAGUCGAACGAGUGGCGGACGGGUGAGUAAUGUCUGGGAAACUGCCCGAUGGAGGGGGAUAACUACUGGAAACGGUAGCUAAUAACGCAUACCAUCGGAUGUGCCCAGAUGGGAUUAGCUUGUGGGUGAGGUAACGGCUCACCUAGGCGACGAUCCCUAGCUGGUCUGUGAGGAUGACCAGAGACACUGGAACUGAGACACGGUGCAGACUCCUACGGGAGGCAGCAGUGGGGAAUAUUGCACAAUGGGGGCAAGCCGGAUGCAGCCAUGCCGAGUGUAUGAAGAAGUCCGUCGGGUUGUAAAGUACUUUCAGCGGGGAGGCGUUACCCUCAGAAGAAGCACCGGCUAACUCCGUGCCAGCAGCCGCGGUAAUUC